CCCUUGACCUGUGAUACCGCCUUGGAUCCUUACAGCAGUCCUUUGAGGCAUGAGAGAUUCCCUGGAGUUCUCCUGUCUCUUGAACCUGUGAGAAGCCACUGCCUGAGACAACUACAAGGGACCAUGGCAUUCUGAGCAUCUUAUAACUGGAAGGACCCUUAAAGACCAGCCCAAGGC
rnacentral:lncRNA from 1 species